UACGUAGGUCCCGAGCGUUGUCCGGAUUUAUUGGGCGUAAGGCGAGCGCAGGUGGUUUAUUAAGUCUGGUGUAAAAGGCAGUGGCUCAACCAUUGUAUGCAUUGGAAACUGGUAGACUUGAGUGCAGGAGAGGAGAGUGGAAUUCCAUGUGUAGCGGUGAAAUGCGUAGAUAUAUGGAGGAACACCGGUGGCGAAAGCGACGAUCUGGCCUGCAACUGACGCUCAGUCCCGAAAGCGUGGGGAGCAAAUAGG
rnacentral:rRNA from 1 species